CCUACGGGACGCAGCAGUGAGGAAUAUUGGUCAAUGGCCGGGAGGCUGAACCAGCCAAGUCGCGUGAGGGAAGACGGCCCUACGGGUUGUAAACCUCUUUUGUCAGGGAGCAAGGUGCAGGUCGGGACCUGCUGUGAGAGUACCUGAAGAAAAAGCAUCGGCUAACUCCGUGCCAGCAGCCGCGGUAAUACGGAGGAUGCGAGCGUUAUCCGGAUUUAUUGGGUUUAAAGGGUGCGCAGGCGGAAUGUCAAGUCAGCGGUAAAAUUUCGGGGCUCAACCCCGUCGUGCCGUUGAAACUGGCGUUC
rnacentral:rRNA from 1 species